rnacentral:rRNA from 1 species
CCUACGGGAGGCAGCAGUGGGGAAUAUUGGACAAUGGGGGGAACCCUGAUCCAGCCAUGCCGCGUGUGUGAAGAAGGCCCUCGGGUUGUAAAGCACUUUCAGUGAGGAAGAACGCCUGGUGGUUAAUACCCAUCAGGAAAGACAUCACUCACAGAAGAAGCACCGGCUAACUCCGUGCCAGCAGCCGCGGUAAUACGGAGGGUGCGAGCGUUAAUCGGAGUUACUGGGCGUAAAGCGCGCGUAGGUGGCUUGAUAAGCCGGUUGUGAAAGCCCCGGGCUCAACCUGGGAACGGCAUCCGGAACUGUCAAGCUAGAGUGCAGGAGAGGAAGGUAGAAUUCCCGGUGUAGCGGUGAAAUGCGUAGAGAUCGGGAGGAAUACCAGUGGCGAAGGCGGCCUUCUGGACUGACACUGACACUGAGGUGCGAAAGCGUGGGUAGCAAACAGGAUUAGAUACCCUGGUAGUC